AGUCGAGGGGUAACAGAGGAGCUUGCUCCUGCUGACGACCGGCGCACGGGUGCGUAACGCGUAUACAAUCUGCCUUGCACUAAGGGAUAGCCCAGAGAAAUUUGGAUUAAUAUCUUAUGGUUUAUAAUUAUGGCAUCAUAUUUAUAAUAAAGGUUACGGUGUAAGAUGAGUAUGCGUCCCAUUAGUUUGUUGGUAAGGUAACGGCUUACCAAGACUACGAUGGGUAGGGGCCCUGAGAGGGGGAUCCCCCACACUGGUACUGAGACACGGACCAGACUCCUACGGGAGGCAGCAGUGAGGAAUAUUGGACAAUGGAGGAGACUCUGAUCCAGCCAUGCCGCGUGCAGGAAGACGGUCCUAUGGAUUGUAAACUGCUUUUAUACAGGAAGAAUAAGGACUACGUGUAGUCUGGUGACGGUACUGUAAGAAUAAGGACCGGCUAACUCCGUGCCAGCAGCCGCGGUAAUACGGAGGGUCCGAGCGUUAUCCGGAAUUAUUGGGUUUAAAGGGUCCGUAGGCGGGCUGUUAAGUCAGGGGUGAAAGUUUGCAGCUCAACUGUAGAAUUGCCUUUGAUACUGACGGUCUUGAAUUAUUGUGAAGUGGUUAGAAUAUGUAGUGUAGCGGUGAAAUGCAUAGAUAUUACAUAGAAUACCGAUUGCGAAGGCAGAUCACUAACAAUUGAUUGACGCUGAUGGACGAAAGCGUGGGUAGCGAACAGGAUUAGAUACCCUGGUAGUCCACGCCGUAAACGAUGGAUACUAGCUGUUUGGAUUUCGAUCUGAGCGGCCAAGCGAAAGUGAUAAGUAUCCCACCUGGGGAGUACGUUCGCAAGAAUGAAACUCAAAGGAAUUGACGGGGGCCCGCA
rnacentral:rRNA from 1 species